AAGGCUUGACAUGUAUUGCUAAGCACGCGAAAGCGUGUGACCCUUCGGGGACCUUACACAGGUGCUGCAUGGCCGUCGUCAGCUCGUGUCGUGAGAUGUUUGGUUAAGUCCAGCAACGAGCGCAACCCCUGUGAAUAGUUGCCAGCACGUAAUGGUGGGGACUCUAUUCAGACUGCCCGGGUCAACCGGGAGGAAGGUGGGGAUGACGUCAGGUCAGUAUGGCCCUUACGCCUUGGGCUGCACACGUACUACAAUGCCCAGUACAAUGAGAACCGAUCCCGCGAGGAGGAGGAAAUCUAAAAAACUGGGCCCAGUUCGGAUUGGAGGCUGCAACUCGCCUCCAUGAAGUUGGAAUCGCUAGUAAUGGCACAUCAGCUACGGUGCCGUGAAUACGUUCCCGGGUCU
rnacentral:rRNA from 1 species